rnacentral:rRNA from 1 species
CGAAGGUGGCAAGCGUUGUUCGGAUUUAUUGGGUUUAAAGGGUCCGUAGGCGGAUCCGUAAGUCAGUGGUGAAAUCUCACAGCUUAACUGUGAAACUGCCAUUGAUACUGCGGGUCUUGAGUAAGGUAGAAGUGGCUGGAAUAAGUAGUGUAGCGGUGAAAUGCAUAGAUAUUACUUAGAACACCAAUUGCGAAGGCAGGUCACUAUGUCUUAACUGACGCUGAUGGACGAAAGCGUGGGGAGCGAACAGGAUUAGAUACCCUGGUAGUCCACGCCGUAAACGAUGCUAACUCGUUUUUGGGCUUUCGGGUUCAGAGACUAAGCGAAAGUGAUAAGUUAGCCACCUGGGGAGUACGUUCGCAAGAAUG